AAGUCGUAACAAGGUUUCCGUAGGUGAACCUGCGGAAGGAUCAUUACCGAGUUCAUGCCCUUCGGGGUAGAUCUCCCACCCUUUGUAUACCAUACCUCUGUUGCUUUGGCGGGCCGCCUAGCUACUGGCUUCGGCUGGUAAGUGCCCGCCAGAGGACCCAAAACCCUGAAUUUUAGUGUCGUCUGAGUAAAAAGUUUAAUAUUUAAAACUUUCAACAACGGAUCUCUUGGCUCUGGCAUCGAUGAAGAACGCAGCGAAAUGCGAUAAGUAAUGUGAAUUGCAGAAUUCAGUGAAUCAUCGAAUCUUUGAACGCACAUUGCGCCCCCUGGUAUUCCGGGGGGCAUGCCUAUUCGAGCGUCAUUAUCACCCCUCAAGCCUAGCUUGGUGUUGAGGCCUGCCGUCAAGGCAGCCUCUAAAAUCAGUGGCAGUGCUGUCAGGCUCUAAGCGUAGUAAAAUAAAUCGCGAUAGGGUCCUGGUGGAUACUCGUCAGAACCCCCCCAUUUUUUAAUGAUUGACCUCGGAUUAGGUAGGGAUACCCGCUGAACUUAAGCAUAUCAAUAAGCGGAGGAAAAGAAACCAACAGGGAUUGCCUCAGUAACGGCGAGUGAAGCGGCAAAAGCUCAAAUUUGAAAUCUGGCUCUUUUAGGGUCCGAGUUGUAAUUUGUAGAAGAUGUUUCGGGUGUGGCUCCGGUUUAAGUUCUUUGGAAUAUUACAUCAUAGAGGGUGAGAAUCCCGUAUGUGACCGGCAGCCUCCGCCUAUGUGAAACUCUUUCGACGAGUCGAGUUGUUUGGGAAUGCAGCUCAAAAUGGGAGGUAUAUUUCUUCUAAAGCUAAAUAUUGGCCAGAGACCGAUAGCGUACAAGUAGAGUGAUCGAAAGAUGAAAAGCACUUUGGAAAGAGAGUUAAACAGUACGUGAAAUUGUUGAAAGGGAAGCGCUUGCAACCAGACUUGCACGCAGUUGAUCAUCCGGUGUUCUCACCGGGGCACUCUGCUGCGUUCAGGCCAGCAUCGGUUUCAGUGGUUGGAUAAAGGCCUUGGGAAUGUAGCUUCCUUCGGGAAGUGUUAUAGCCCUCGGUGCAAUGCAGCCUACCGGGACCGAGGACCGCGCUUCGGCUAGGAUGCUGGCGUAAUGGUUGUAAGCGACC
rnacentral:rRNA from 1 species